AUUGAACGCUGGCGGCAGGCCUAACACAUGCAAGUCGAGCGAGAGGCGGACGGGUGAGUAAGGUAUGGGGAUAUGCCAGAAAGAGGGGGAUAACUACUGGAAACGGUGGCUAAUAACGCAUACUAUCGAAUGAACCCAGAUGGGAUUAGCUAGUAGGUGGGGUAAAGGCUACCCUAGGCGACGAUCUCUAGCUGGUCUGAGAGGAGGAGAAGCCACACUGGGACUGAGACACGGCCCAGACUCCUACGGGAGGUCGCAGUGGGGAAUAUUGCACAAUGGGCACAAGCCUAAUGCAGCCAUGCCGCUGGUAUGAAGAAGGCCUUAGGGUGGUAAAGUACUUUCAGCGGGGAGGCGUUACCAGCAGAAGAAGCACCGGCUAACUCCGGGCCAGCAGCCGCGGUAAUAC
rnacentral:rRNA from 1 species